GUGGGGAAUAUUGGACAAUGGGCGCAAGCCUGAUCCAGCCAUGCCGCGUGAGUGAAGAAGGCCCUCGGGUUGUAAAGCUCUUUUGUUGGGAAAGAAAAGCAGCCGGUUAAUACCCGGUUGUUCUGACGGUACCCAAAGAAUAAGCACCGGCUAACUUCGUGCCAGCAGCCGCGGUAAUACGAAGGGUGCAAGCGUUACUCGGAAUUACUGGGCGUAAAGCGUGCGUAGGUGGUUCGUUAAGUCUGAUGUGAAAGCCCUGGGCUCAACCUGGGAAUUGCAUUGGAUACUGGCGGGCUAGAGUACGGUAGAGGGUGGCGGAAUUCCUGGUGUAGCAGUGAAAUGCGUAGAUAUCAGGAGGAACAUCCGUGGCGAAGGCGGCCACCUGGACCAGUACUGACACUGAGGCACGAAAGCGUGGGGAGCAAACAGGAUUAGAAACCCUAGUAGUCC
rnacentral:rRNA from 1 species